GAUGAACGCUGGCGGCGUGCCCAAUACAUGCAAGUCGAGCGAACGGACGAGAAGCUUGCUUCUCUGAUGUUAGCGGCGGACGGGUGAGUAACACGUGGAUAACCUACCUAUAAGACUGGGAUAACUUCGGGAAACCGGAGCUAAUACCGGAUAAUAUUUUGAACCGCAUGGUUCAAAAGUGAAAGACGGUCUUGCUGUCACUUAUAGAUGGAUCCGCGCUGCAUUAGCUAGUUGGUAAGGUAACGGCUUACCAAGGCAACGAUGCAUAGCCGACCUGAGAGGGUGAUCGGCCACACUGGAACUGAGACACCGUCCAGCCUCCUACGGGAGUCAGCAGUAGGGAAUCUUCCGCAAUGCGCGAAAGCCUGACGGAGCAACGCCGCGUGAGUGAUGAAGGUCUUCGGAUCGUAAAACUCUGUUAUUAGGGAAGAACAUAUGUGUAAGUACCUGUGCACAUCUUGACGGUACCUAAUCAGAAAGCCGCGGCUAACUACGUG
rnacentral:rRNA from 1 species